rnacentral:tRNA from 1 species
UGAGCUAUGGUGUAACGGUAACACACCGCCCUUUGGAGGCGGUACUCCCGGUUCGAAUCCGGGUAGCUCAA